rnacentral:tRNA from 1 species
AUUAUUUUGGCAGAUUAGUGCAAUAGAUUUAGAAUCUUUAUAAGUAAAAAAAUUUUUUUACAAAUAAUA